rnacentral:rRNA from 1 species
UACAGAGGAGGCAAGCGUUGUUCGGAAUCACUGGGCUUAAAGCGCGUGUAGGCGGCCAUGCAAGUACUUUGUGAAAUCCCUCGGCUCAACCGGGGAAUUGCUUGGUAUACUGCAGGGCUUGAGGCGGGUAGGGGUGCUUGGAACUCUAGGUGGAGCGGUGAAAUGCGUAGAUAUCUGGAGGAACACCGGUGGCGAAGGCGGCAUCCUGGACCGGCAUUGACGCUGAGGCGCGAAAGCCAGGGGAGCAAACGGG